rnacentral:rRNA from 1 species
UACGAAGGGGGCUAGCGUUGCUCGGAAUCACUGGGCGUAAAGCGCACGUAGGCGGAUCCUUAAGUCGGUGGUGAAAUCCUGGAGCUCAACUCCAGAACUGCCUUCGAUACUGAGGGUCUUGAGUCCGGGAGAGGUGAGUGGAACUGCGAGUGUAGAGGUGAAAUUCGUAGAUAUUCGGAAGAACACCAGUGGCGAAGGCGACUCACUGGACACAUAUUGACGCUGAGGUGCGAAAAGCGUGGGGGAGCAAACAGGGAUUAAGAAAACCCGGG